UUCCGGUUGAUCCCGCCGGAAGCCACUGCUAUGGGGGUCCGACUAAGCCAUGCGAGUCAUGGGGUGCCUUGUGCGCACCGGCGGACGGCUCAGUAACACGUCGGUAACCUACCCUCGGGAGGGGGAUAACCCCGGGAAACUGGGGCUAAUCCCCCAUAGGUCUGAGGUAUUGGAAGGUCCUCAGGCCGAAAGGGGCUUCGGCUCGCCCGAGGAUGGGCCGGCGGCCGAUUAGGUAGUUGGUGGGGUAACGGCCCACCAAGCCGAAGAUCGGUACGGGCCAUGAGAGUGGGAGCCCGGAGAUGGACACUGAGACACGGGUCCAGGCCCUACGGGGCGCAGCAGGCGCGAAACCUCCGCAAUGCUCGAAAGAGCGACGGGGGGACCCCCAGUGCCGUGGCAUCGCCACGGCUUUUCCGGAGUGUAAAGAGCUCCGGGAAUAAGGGCUGGGCAAGGCCGGUGGCAGCCGCCGCGGUAAUACCGGCGGCCCGAGUGGUGGCCGCUAUUAUUGGGCCUAAAGCGUCCGUAGCCGGGCCUGUAAGUCCCUGGCGAAAUCCCACGGCUCAACCGUGGGGCUUGCUGGGGAUACUGCAGGCCUUGGGACCGGGAGAGGCGGAGGGUACUCCUGGGGUAGGGGUGAAAUCCUAUAAUCCCAGGAGGACCGCCAGUGGCGAAGGCGCUCCGCUAGAACGGGUCCGACGGUGAGGGACGAAGGCCAGGGGAGCGAACCGGAUUAGAUACCCGGGUAGUCCUGGCUGUAAAGGAUGCGGGCUAGGUGUCGGGUGAGCUUCGUGCUCGCCCGGUGCCGAAGGGAAGCCGUUAAGCCCGCCGCCUGGGGAGUACGGCCGCAAGGCUGAAACUUAAAGGAAUUGGCGGGGGAGCACUACAAGGGGUGGAGCGUGCGGUUUAAUUGGAUUCAACGCCGGG
rnacentral:rRNA from 1 species